GUAGAUGCUCAUUCCACCUCUUAUGUUCGCCACAUGGCCUCAUAAACCCUGGGAAUGACGCAGAGCCGAUUUAGGGUGCCUAUUGCCCACCAGAACGAUGAAUACAUCGCUUGCGAUGCGGACAUCACACUGCGGGCAUAACGUUGAGUGAGGCACCACCCCUGUUGUCCAAGACCUGAUUGCUUCUUUAUACACUUGUCGUUACGGCAAGUGUUUUUUU
rfam:Serratia odorifera DSM 4582 genomic scaffold SCAFFOLD1, whole genome shotgun sequence.